CCUACGGGCGGCAGCAGUGGGGAAUAUUGCACAAUGGGCGCAAGCCUGAUGCAGCCAUGCCGCGUGUGUGAAGAAGGCCUUCGGGUUGUAAAGCACUUUCAGCGGGGAGGAAGGCGUUAAGGUUAAUAACCUUGUCGAUUGACGUUACCCGCAGAAGAAGCACCGGCUAACUCCGUGCCAGCAGCCGCGGUAAUACGGAGGGUGCAAGCGUUAAUCGGAAUUACUGGGCGUAAAGCGCGCGCAGGCGGUCUGUCAAGUCGGAUGUGAAAUCCCCGGGCUCAACCUGGGAACUGCAUUCGAAACUGGCAGGCUAGAGCCUUGUUGAGGGGGGUAGAAUUCCAGGUGUAGCGGUGAAAUGCGUAGAGAUCUGGAGGAAUACCGGUGGCGAAGGCGGCCCCCUGGACAAAGACUGACGCUCAGGUGCGAAAGCGUGGGGAGCAAACAGGAUUAGAUACCCGAGUAGUC
rnacentral:rRNA from 1 species